rnacentral:rRNA from 1 species
UCCUGCCAGUUGUCAUAUGCUUGUCUAAAAUAUUAAGCCAUGCAAGUGUAAGUAUAAAUAGACAAAUUAUUGUACUAUGAGACUGCGAAUGGCUCAUUAAAUCAGCAAUCAUUUAUUCGGUGGAUGAAGUAAUUCUAAAAUGGAUAACCGUGGGAAAUCUAGAGCUAAUACAUGCAAAAGAGAAUUCUUUGAAAAAGGAAUGCAUAUAUUAGAUACAAAUCCAAAAAAUACAAAAGGUGAAUCAUAAUAUUUAUAGCAAAUUAUACAGAGGAAGUAAUUCUUUUCUUGAUAAUAAACCGAUCAAAAUUUCUGCCCUAUCAUACUUUGGACGGUAAUGUAGUGGAUUACGGUGGUGAUGACGGGUAACGGAGAAUUAGGGUUUGAUUCCGGAGAGGGAGCAUGAGAAAUGGCUACCACUUCCAAGGAAGGCAGCAGGCG